rnacentral:rRNA from 1 species
UACGUAGGGUGCUAGCGUUGUUCGGAGUUACUGGGCGUAAAGGGUGUGCAGGCGGGGUGGCAAGUGGUGUAUGAAAUAUCCCAGCUUAACUGGGAGGGGUUAUGCCAGACUGCUACUCUAGAGGACGAGAGAGGGGCGUGGAAUUCCGGGUGUAGUGGUGAAAUGCGUAGAGAUCGGGAGGAACAUCAGUGGCGAACGGCGGCCAUCUGGGACAACACUGACGCUGAAGCACGAAGCGUGGGGAGCAAACAGG